CAGAAAGGCCUCAGCCUCAUUAAAAGUAUUUUAAACUGUCUAGAUAUUUUUCACUUAUCAAGUCGCCUCUUUCACACCAUAAGUAUGAAUAACCUGGUAGUUUCUUUCUUUAAAAAUCUGAUCAUAGCAAUGUGUUUGCUGACGAUAUUCUUGAAUCAACAAGGAGUAGAGUCUCGCAGUAUUUCAGAGCGCGAGAGGACAAUGAAUGAGUUACCCUUCUAUCCGUCAAUGCCUGAGAAACGCAUGCCGGUAACGUCGCUUGAUCCGGCGUGCCUAGGCACGUACGACGCUGGUGCCUACAAGAGGCUAAACCAAGUGUGUGAAGACUGCUUCUACCUCUACUACGAUGAGGAAUUCACCAGGCGCUGCAAGAGCCAGUGCUUCACAACCCCCGCGUUCACGGCCUGCGCGGCGGAUUUGCUAGCCGACGUCGAGGCUCAUCAGGCGAUGGCGAACCGCCUGCACUCCAAGACGGGUUAACUCAUGUCGCUAUAACUUCUCUUCAGACCCAGCAACCAAUGGCACUACGAGCUUCAGCUUUUCAGCACCAAAAUAAAACGUCACUUUCACCACCUCAUGGAACCGAAAGUUCAUGUCAAUUCUUUUGCCGUCACCCAGCCUGGUCAUCCAACUUUUGUUUUUGCUUGCGACACACUGACACAUCCGGCGAUAAUUGACACAUCCGGCGAUUUUGUGUCGACCAACCGUAUCCUUGCUUACGGCGGUAUUUUUUUUUUUUUUUGUUUGCUAAAGCGCAAAGCAAAAUCUUUCAAGACGAGGUAGCAGCUUGGAGGCUAGUCAGUCAUUUGUGUGCAGCUAAUUUAGUCAUUGGUGUUCAGCUAAUCCAUGAUAUCCUCGAAUUACUUAUUAAUAUCCGAGCAACAUAACAGUUCUAAUGUUUGGGAACCCAUAAUAUUUAACACUUAUCGCUCUAUGUCCAAUAACCAGGAGUGAGUUGCGACUUCCUAAAUUUGUUGUAAACUGAAAUUCUUCAUCAACUUUAGCUUCGGAUAAAAAUCUUACGCAUUGUUUAGAAAUCUAUUCGUAGAUUUUGAGGUAAAAAGCCUUUAAAUUUUUCAUGCAGAUAUAUAACGGUUGUAUAGCUACAAAAUAAAGUAUUUUAUCAAUAGGGUGAUGUUCUUGUUAGGCAGCUACUUAGUAGUAAGUGGAAAAGAGAGGUUGAUUGUUCAGUUUAACCAAAGGUUGGUUUGUUGGUGGUGAGUGACGAUGAUGGACGAGUCAGACAUUGUUUGUGAUCAGUGAUGAUGAUGGACGAGUCAAAGUUAAUCGACCGACAUAGUCAAGCGCCCUACUUUGUUACUAGAUGUUUGAAUGAAACGCAAGACAGCCUUUGAGUCGGAGCGCUUGUCUUUAAAAUAAAAAAUUGUUAUUAUCGUUAAAUAAUUCCAUUACGCUUACAAAGUAUAAUGAAUUAUAAUUUUAUUUUUAACUAGGCUUGACAAUUUCUCAGUGCAGCUAACUCUUCACUCUCCUUAUUUCACAUCCGCCCUAUCACAAGUCAGCGCCUAACGCAUGAAUUUAUUUUGCUACACAGAAAAUGUUUGCGGUAUUUCAGUUUCCUAAUGAUCCUAGAAUUUUACGACAGUAUUACGGCCAAUUUUACGACAGUAUCACGGCAAAGUACUUUCGUUUAUGACAUGCAUUCCCGCCAGAUUUUAUAACCCACGCGGUACUCGUGUCUCUUAAUUGAAGUAAUCUCUAUGUAUAUAUCGGUUGAGUUCCUAUUAUCUAGUUAAAUUUAAUACGAAGCACUCAUUUUUGAAGGAAGUUCUAUAAUAUAAAUUUAGACUCGGUGUUCGAAGAUAUAGAUAAUAUUAUAUAAUAUUUGUAUUGGACGACUAUUAGAUGUGCAGCUGCGUUCCUCUCGGGGUCUCAAAGCCAUUCAAAAACUUCGAUUUUCCUGCACAUUUUAUCACAUAUUUAGAAAUGGAAGAGCGUGGGAAAUUAUCCGAGAUUUAAAAAACCUUAAUGUUAUUUAUGCGGCUUAACGUCAAAAUUUCCCAGACGGUAAAAUAAAUUGUAGCGAUUCUUUUCGGCAUUUCCUUAUUUCUACUUUCGCUUGAACUACGACCAAUAAAAUUUAAUAAUAAUUGCAGUAAUACGAGGCACGUUGAUUUCGUCUUAAGUCAGCUGUCGAUGUUUAGCUUUUAUUAAAUAUUGAUUUUUGAUAAUGACAUGCGUUGCCCUGCCAUUACAUGCGACUAACUUAUGUUUUUAAAUGUCUCUUACGAAUUGAAUGCAAGUGCGCUGGUGACAUGAAAAGAUGCAGUGAAGUGCAUGCACGGUUGAUGAAUCACGAAUUAUUUGACUCCAUUGUUGGAUUUUCUUUUAUUAUUAAAUGAACAAAAGGCCAAAGAUAUUAUAAGGAUUAUUAUGUCUCAGAAAUACAAGAUACAUGCUUAA